GGUUGAUUCAUAGUAACUUUUCGGAUCGCACGGUUUCACGUCGGCGAAAGUUCAUUCAAAUUUCUGCCCUAUCAGCCUUCGACGGUACUGUAGUGGACUACCGUGGCAUUAACGGGUGACGGAGAAUUAGGGUUCGAUUCCGGAGGAGGGAGCCUGAGAAACGGCUACCACAUCCAAGGAAGGCAGCAGGCGCCCAAAUUACCCAAUCCUGACACAGGGAGGUAGUGACAAAAAAUAACAAUACCGGGCCUUUUUAGGUCUGGUAAUUGGAAUGAGUACAAUUUAAAUCCCUUAACGAGUAUCCAUUGGAGGGCAAGUCUGGUGCCAGCAGGCGCGGUAAUUCCAGCUCCAAUAGCGUAUAUUAAAGUUGCUGCAGUUAAAAAGCUCGUAGUUGGAUUUCUGGCUUGAAAACAUUUGGCGGCCACGGUUUCGUGUGUUAGUGCUUUGUGUUCUGGCAUCCUUCCAAUCGCAAUUGGUCUUCUUCAUUGAUUGGUCAGUUGUAUUGGAUCUUUUACUUUGAAAAAAAUUAGAGUGUUUCAAGCAGGCUUUAU
rnacentral:rRNA from 1 species